rnacentral:rRNA from 1 species
GAAUUCGCCCUUAGAGUUUGAUCCUGGCUCAGGACGAACGCUGGCGGCGCGCCUAACACAUGCAAGUCGAACGAGCGAGAGAGAGCUUGCUUUCUCAAGCGAGUGGCGAACGGGUGAGUAACGCGUGGGGAACCUGCCUCAAAGAGGGGGACAACAGUUGGAAACGACUGCUAAUACCGCAUAAGCCCACGACCCGGCAUCGGGUAGAGGGAAAAGGAGCAAUCCGCUUUGAGAUGGCCUCGCGUCCGAUUAGCUAGUUGGUGAGGUAAUGGCCCACCAAGGCGACGAUCGGUAGCCGGACUGAGAGGUUGAACGGCCACAUUGGGACUGAGACACGGCCCAGACUCCUACGGGAGGCAGCAGUGGGGAAUAUUGCACAAUGGGGGAAACCCUGAUGCAGCGACGCCGCGUGGAGGAAGAAGGUCUUCGGAUUGUAAACUCCUGUUGUUGAGGAAGAUAAUGACGGUACUCAACAAGGAAGUGACGGCUAACUACGUGCCAGCAGCCGCGGUAAAACGUAGGUCACAAGCGUUGUCCGGAAUUACUGGGUGUAAAGGGAGCGCAGGCGGGAAGACAAGUUGGAAGUGAAAUCCAUGGGCUCAACCCAUGAACUGCUUUCAAAACUGUUUUUCUUGAGUAGUGCAGAGGUAGGCGGAAUUCCCGGUGUAGCGGUGGAAUGCGUAGAUAUCGGGAGGAACACCAGUGGCGAAGGCGGCCUACUGGGCACCAACUGACGCUGAGGCUCGAAAGUGUGGGUAGCAAACAGGAUUAGAUACCCUGGUAGUCCACACUGUAAACGAUG